UACGGGGGGGGCAAGCGUUGUUCGGAAUCACUGGGCGUAAAGAGCGUGUAGGCGGCUCGGUAAGUCCGCUGUGAAAGUCCAGGGCUCAACCCUGGAAUGCCGGUGGAUACUGUCGAGCUCGAGUCCGGAAGAGGCGAGUGGAAUUCCUGGUGUAGCGGUGAAAUGCGCAGAUAUCAGGAAGAACACCCGUGGCGAAGGCGGCUCUCUGGGACGGUACUGACGCUGAGACGCGAAAGCGUGGGGAGCGAACAGG
rnacentral:rRNA from 1 species